GGUGUUGUGGCUCAGUGGUAGAGCGCUUACCUAGAGCGCUUACCUGGCACGUAGAAGGCACUGAGUUCAAUCCUCAGCACCACAU
rnacentral:tRNA from 1 species